rnacentral:rRNA from 1 species
CCAGACUCCUACGGGAGGCAGCAGUGGGGAAUAUUGCACAAUGGGGGAAACCCUGAUGCAGCGACGCCGCGUGAGUGAAGAAGUAAUUCGUUAUGUAAAGCUCUAUCAGCAGGGAAGAAACAGACGGUACCUGAGUAAGAAGCCCCGGCUAACUACGUGCCAGCAGCCGCGGUAAUACGUAGGGGGCAAGCGUUAUCCGGAUUUACUGGGUGUAAAGGGAGCGUAGACGGCGACGCAAGUCUGGAGUGAAAGCCCGGGGCCCAACCCCGGGACUGCUCUGGAAACUGUAUGGCUGGAGUGCAGGAGAGGUAAGUGGAAUUCCUAGUGUAGCGGUGAAAUGCGUAGAUAUUAGGAGGAACACCAGUGGCGAAGGCGGCUUACUGGACUGUAACUGACGUUGAGGCUCGAAAGCGUGGGGAGCAAACAGGAUUAGAUCCCCGAGUA